AUUGAACGCUGGCGGCAUGCCUUACACAUGCAAGUCGAACGGCAGCACGGAGCUUGCUCUGGUGGCGAGUGGCGAACGGGUGAGUAAUAUAUCGGAACGUACCCAAGAGUGGGGGAUAACGUAGCGAAAGUUACGCUAAUACCGCAUACGAUCUAAGGAUGAAAGUGGGGGAUCGCAAGACCUCAUGCUCCUGGAGCGGCCGAUAUCUGAUUAGCUAGUUGGUGAGGUAAAGGCUCACCAAGGCAUCGAUCAGUAGCUGGUCUGAGAGGACGACCAGCCACACGGGAACUGAGACACGGUCCAGACUCCUACGGGAGGCAGCAGUGGGGAAUUUUGGACAAUGGGGGCAACCCUGAUCCAGCAAUGCCGCGUGAGUGAAGAAGGCCUUCGGGUUGUAAAGCUCUUUUGUCAGGGAAGAAACGGUGAAGGCUAAUAUCCUUUGCUAAUGACGGUACCUGAAGAAUAAGCACCGGCUAACUACGUGCCAGCAGCCGCCGUAA
rnacentral:rRNA from 1 species